rnacentral:rRNA from 1 species
AUCUGAAAUCAAGUGGGACUACCCGCUGAACUUAAGCAU